GUUUAAAGGGAGCGUAGGCCGCUGUUUAAGCGUGUUGUGAAAAACCGGGGCUCAACUCCGGUCGUGCAGCGCGAACUGGACGGCUUGAGUGCGCGGUAAGUGGGCGGAAUUUGUGGUGUAGCGGUGAAAUGCUUAGAUAUCACGAAGAACUCCGAUUGCGAAGGCAGCUCACUGUAGCGCAACUGACGCUGAAGCUCGAAAGUGCGGGUAUCGAACAGGAUUAGAUACCCUGGUAGUCCGCACGGUAAACGAUGGAUGCCCGCUGUUCCGGCUAAUAGUUGGAGUGGCCAAGCGAAAACGUUAAGCAUCCCACCUGGGGAGUACGCCGGCAACGGUGAAACUCAAAGGAAUUGACGGGGGCCCGCACAAGCGGAGGAACAUGUGGUUUAAUUCGAUGAUACGCGAGGAACCUUACCCGGGCUUGAACUGCAGGAGAACGAUUCAGAGAUGAUGAGGCCCUUCGGGGCUCCUGUGGAGGUGCUGCAUGGUUGUCGUCAGCUCGUGCCGUGAGGUGACGGCUUAAGUGCCAUAACGAGCGCAACCCCUCUCCGUAGUUGCCAUCAGGUAGUGCUGGGCACUCUGCGGACACUGCCACCGUAAGGUGUGAGGAAGGUGGGGAUGACGUCAAAUCAGCACGGCCCUUACGUCCGGGGCUACACACGUGUUACAAUGGGGGGUACAGAGUGUUGUUCGCAUGCAAAUGCGUACUAAUCAUGAAAGCCCUCCUCAGUUCGGACUGGGGUCUGCAACCCGACCCCGCGAAGCUGGAUUCGCUAGUAAUCGCGC
rnacentral:rRNA from 1 species